GCGUGCUCACCAAAUAGCGAAAAAAAGUUCGCGGGGGCGAUUUGGCCCGGGGUUUUCGUGGCCAGGGAUUGGACCGGGAUCCUGCCGGGAUCCUGUGCUGCCAAAGGAGCCCUCAAUCCUCGGAGUAACCGCCGCUCUCCACAUUGAAAAACCCUAGUCCUUCCCGAUGGAACCGCCGUCGCGCCCGCCGUCAGAUCCAGCCAUCCUGGCACCACUGCGUUGCGCGAUUCCCACACUAACCAUGUGAUCCGGAUAAAUCACGGUGCUCUUUUGUUAGCCCAUUGUAUCCCUCCCACCGGGUGACCGGAGCUAGACUAACAAGUCUUCGGCGCCACCCGGUUGCCGAUUUGGGUUGGCGGUACAAGGAGCCACCGUGCUAACCUCAGUUUGUAUGCUUGCUUUUUCUUGUUCGCACUUCGUGUCUUCAGCUUUCCUUCAUUUUGUUCUUGUCCACUCGGUUUUCGUAUGGAUCUUUGAUUGUCUGAGGCUCUGGAUCUAUGAACUAGGAGAAAUGCGAUAAUAUAUUGCAAAUGAUUUAGAGUUUCAGUCUCAAUCGCGAGCUUGGUAUAUGAUUAAUUUAUUUUCUCGUCGGAUUCUGAUCUGCCAGCCUGAUGAUUAGCAUUGUUUGCACAAAGAACGGAGAUCUGAAUGCGUUUCCUCGUCGAAGCCCGCUUGACUGUUUCUCAUAGCAGGCUUGCUUGCUCCAGCUCGGAUUGUUGACAACUUAACACUCCCUCAGUCCCUCUGUUUUGUUAUGUCUGGUGUAGUUUUCCUCCUUGAGAGGAAACCUGCAACCACACAUACACGAACAUGCAUGCAUAUAUACAUAUAUACACACAUAUCCUCUGCUCCUGCUUUUCCACUGAUCUGUCUGAGCGGGCUCCGGGGAAUGCUCCUGUAGAUGCAAAAGUUAUGAAGGCGGCAGGUUGGAAGAAUGCCCUUUCUGAAUUUGUUUUUAACUUUGCAAAAGCUAUUUUAGUUUUGAAGUACUGCAAUGCAGACAGUGUUGCUUUUGAUGUGGUUGCUAUCCCAACAUCUUACUGCAGCAGAUAUCUGAGUUGCGAACUUGCAACUUAUGGGGGACAACAUUGUCAUUUGACAGAUGAUGAGAAGCAAUAUAAUGACAUCUGUAGUGCUACUUGUUCCUGGGGGCACAAUAGCAUGAUGACUCUGUCUAGGGGAAUCUGUGAUAUUGAGUUGGUAAUGCCAGUUUUUGUUUAUAGCUUAUUGAGUGAAUGAGGUUGAUUCAUGUUUAACCAUGCUAGUUUCUUUGAAUAAAAUGAUAUGUGGUCUUUCCUUUUAUAGAUAGAAUAUAAGUUUGUGUAAUGUGUGUUUACCAUAAUCUGUUAACCUGCAUUGAAGAGCAGAGUUGUUUGGAUCGGUACCUCCCAAGCAGCAGUCUUGCGAGGCAAUCAUCUUGUCCAUAGGCGUUCAAAGCUCUGUUUGCAGGCAAUCUUGCCUGAAGAGAAUCGAAACAUGCUUGGGCUCUUUGCUUUGCACCCAGGCAGAGCUGCCUGGCGCGAUGGCUGCUCCCAGGUGUCCGAUUUCGGGUGCCUGGGGCAAAGAUUGCUGCUUGGUGGGAAGCUCUCAUCUGGGAGGCCUCGAAGUAAACACACUCUAAAUGUCAUUGCCAUGGACACCUGCUUGGUUGGUAUGCUGGAUCAUGUUCUACUUCCUCUGUUCACAAAAACUAACUCAGGUUCUCAAACCCUGUUUUCAAGUCGUCGACUAGUCGUCCAGUCGGUCCUGGGAGCUCGACUUGGGGAGCCGGCUCGACUUUUCUGGCAAGUCGGGCGACUUGUCAACGAUUGGAAAUUCAUAGUCGACUAGUCGUCGACUUUGGUCUGGCAAGUCGGCCGACUUGUGCCCGAGUUCAACCCAAACAGCCCAAAGACCCAUUACACAACAUAUUUUCUUGAUUUGGGAGAAAAUGCAAUGGAUGAUCUUGAAUUGGGAGAUAUUUAGGGUAUCUACUAUCUAGUAUCUAUCUAGCUGCAGCAGCAGCUUAGCUAUCUAAUGGAGCUUAUUUCCUUUCAAGUUUGAACUAUAUUUUCUUGCUAUUUGUUUUCCAAUUUGAACUAUAUGGCUGUUAUGACUUAUGAGUUUAUGACUUAUCACUUAUGUGGCUGAUUUGGUUCAGUUUGAGGAUUCAAAUGAGGUAAGACUUGCUGUUUAUUUCAGUUUCGUUCAAUUUCAGGCUUCAAAUGAGAUAAAACAUGCUCUUUCUUUAUAUAUAAAUGUUAUAUUGUCUAUAUGAAGCCAUUAUAUAGACAAAACAACCACUAUAUUGGCAAGUCGACGACUAGUCGACUGACUUAUCGACUAGUCACCAAGUUGGUACCUUGUCGACUCGACUUAUCGACUUGAAAACCUUGUUCUCAAAUACAUGUUUGACACAUUUUCGCCUAUUAACAAAAGGUUGGCAGAUGGAGAAAAGAAAAACAAGUACAACUGCAUUGUUUUUAAUAGCUUGACAAAAACAUUGAAAGUUUCCCAAUUUUAGUAUCAGUUUGGUAUCUGUUAUUCCUUAAUGUUGUCUCCUGGUGUUCUUAUUGCGCUUUAGGUGUUGGAGGAUUUAUGUCUGCCAUGCAUCCGGGAGUUAAAAUAUUUAAUGUCUCACCAUUUCACUGCAUAGAAACAUUGAUAGAUGACGAGAAGAUCUUCAGUGUUCCCUGAAUCAGGGAUGCAAUAGCAUGAUGAUCCCGGUCUAGAGGAAUCUCUGAUGCUAAUAUCAGGUCCUUUUGCUUAUUUUCUUGCAUGCUGUCUUUUUUCCCUGUGAUCAUGUUUGGUUUUUGGUGUUAUUUGAGUAUUCUUCAGUAUUCUGAGUUUUUUUUUGUUUAUUUCCUUUUUCCUUAUGAGUAUUAAGCUGCAAGGGUUAGUAGAUGUGUAGAUGCUUGUUAAACCAUGGAUUGGUUUAAGCAACUUCUAGAAAUUGGCAUAAUGCAAAAGCAUGCAGUUUGCAACCUAGAUGUAUUAUAGUCAUGGGUGUUCUAUAAAUUGGCAUAAUGCAAAAGCAUGCGGUUUGCAGCCUACAUGUAUUCUAGUUUCAGUGUUUGUCAUGGGGUGUUCUGGUUUGCCAUCCUGAUGCCUCUGCACUAACAGUGGAGAUUGGAAUACACAUAUUCGUUGAUGCUGUGUUGGAUCAUGUACUUCCUCCUAUUCCAAGUUCAGUCCAUCGAUCUAUCCUUGCAUAUUCCACUCUGAUUUUCUUCCACCAAGCUGGCUGACUGGGCUCCGACUAGGAUGUGUCGAUACAUCAACAUAGUCUUUUAGUUCCAAGCAAGUUGGGGUAGACUAGAGCUGAAAUCCAACAAGAAGUCACCAAAAAGAGAAAGAGAGAGAGAAAGGGGAGGGGAAAAAGCUUUUGAGAGCACUAAAAGGGAAAAUGCCUAAUCACGGUUCGGGCAUGUGGGUAGCUUCUUUCCAAGCACUUCUAUUCUAUCCAAACACAACUCCAUUGGACUCCGCCUAGGAUGUGUGUAGAUAAAAAAUAAAAAGGAUAAGUCUUUGACAGACAUAUAGGGUGCUUGAGGAAGAUUAUUUGUGCAUAACUGCCAUUUAUAGUGCCUUGAAAAAGUUUUGAUUUAUUUGGUUUUAUUCUUGAAGCUAGUAGUCCAGUGUUUUUGUUUUGUUAUGGGGUCAUUUUGAUAUUCAAGCCUGAUGAUUAAUGGUAAUUUGCAUCAAGUGUGAUGAUCUGAAUGCACUUUUCCUGUUAAUGGAUGUGCCUGGCCACUCUGGAUCUGGUUGAUGCUCUGCUGCUGUUGCUGCUGCUGCUGCUGCGCCUUUUCCAUCAUCAUCAUCAUCUCUCUCCCUAACUCUCUCCCCCCUCUCCCUCUCCCCCUCCCCUCUGGAUGUUUGUCUGUGUGUUUGUGAUUCCAUCAACAAACACACACACACAAACACUGGAAAGUGUAUAUGUAGAUGCAAUGAUUAUGAAGGUUUGCCAGAUAUAAGAAACCCCCUGAUCGAACAAUUUUGUUUUGUUUUCCUCGAAUAUGCAGGAGAUCUGCAUAUCUUUGCAACAAUUUUUAUUUGUGACGGGUUACCUCUGAGCUUGAUGUUUUACUCUUUUGUUUUUGGCAAGCAGAUUUUCCUAACAUCAUUGCAAGUGACCUUCUUCUGAUUUUUAUUUUUGAUUAACGCAAACUGUGGAAUUGUUUUGGUCUUAUCAAUUUUUGUCAUGCAAUCUGACCAGCUGUCAGGUGAUCUGCAUCGCAAAUAAGAUAAGUUCUUUUCGAUGACGAUUCAUUUAAGAUGGGUGAAUGCUUGUGGUUGCAGCUUACAUUUUUCGAGUUUCAGUGUUGUCAUGGUGGUGAUCAGUGUUCUGGUAUGCCAGCCCAAUGAUUACCUUUGUGCUAAAAAUGGAGAUCUAAGAUCUAACUAAACUUGUUUGUUGCUUGGCUGCUGUGAUAGAUCAUAUACUUCAAUGACAAAUAUAAUUAUGUUGCAUUGUGCUUUCAGAAAAAAAAGUCUUUCAUUAUUACGUUUCCAGAAAUGCAGAAGUCCUUGAAAAAAGUUCUGAUUUCUUGAGGCUAGUACUAGUAGUCUUUUGGUUUUGUUAUGGGGGCAUGAAUUCUGGUAUACCAGCCUGAUGAUUAUGAUGUUUUUUGCAUCAAGAAUGGAAAUCCGAGUGUAUUUCUCCCAUUGAAGUCUGCUUGGCCGCUCUGGUUGAUGGCCUGCUGCUACUGCUAGUACCAGUACUACUGCUUUCUUGGGGCUCAUCUGUCUGUCUGUCUGUCUUGUCUCGUUGGCCACAACCAAGCUGGCUAAGUGAGCUCUGGGGAAUCCUUAUGUGGACAUAAGGCUUAUGAAGGCUUGGCAGUAGGAGAAUGCCCCUGAUAAAAUAUUUCCAUUUAUUUUGAGUGAUCUCUGCCUAGAAGCUUGUCUUUCACUGUGUUUUGUUGUAUUGUCCUAAAUGCAAUGUGAUUUGACCUCAGUUUUUGUGGUUUAAGUUUGUGCUAAUAAAUCAAAUGGAGCUGUGAAUGAUUUUAUUAUUGCCAAAUGUUAUCAUCUAUGUCGCCAGCUCUCGAAAUUUUGUGACUUGUCGAAAUUUGGAUCUGAUUUAUGUGCCACCCAGUGACUCGGUUAGCUCUCUACAAACAUAUUUAGUUUUAUUUGGACAGCUUUGACCAACAAUUACUCCAUAAGACCAUGUCUAGCAGUGCGCUGUACAUGACACUAUUCAUAGAGUGAACACAGUGAAGCUUAAAUAUGGGCAUGAGGAUGGAUAAGCUGCUCGAGAUAGCCUAAUCUUCGCAAUAAAAAGGGAAUAGUGGAUUUUGAGAUGCAGGGAUGACAUCUUACUCAGGUGAUCAGCAUUGCAAAUAUGAUCAGCUGAAGUGAUUCCUUUUCAUGGGGGUUCUGCUGUUCCAGCAUGACGAUUAUCUUCUUUGCAACUGUUUAUUGAUGCUGGUUUGGCUGCUGUGGUGCAUCGAAUAUCUCCUCCCAUCACAAAUAUAAAGUUCAUUUAUAUUGUAUUGUUUCAUUGAGCUUUCAAGACAUUUCAUGAUUAUAUGAAUCAGCUUGCACAAUUCCGAUGUAUAUAAUACCUGGAACGAUGGUUAGGCUGCCUAUAGUGCAAGUUUUCACUAUUUACUAAUGGGCUAAAAACGUAUGAUGUUACUGGGAUGUGUAAUUUGUUUGGUUCUUCUGUUGAUCUAAAAAGAAUUUAUUUUCAGAAA